GCUGGAUACCCUGCGGCUACAUCCGGUUCUAUUUUGCAUUUCUCUACAGAUUUUCUCAAAUUCUGAUUCAAUUUCCGUAAAUCGCAUCAUCAAAAUCGUUCGUUAUUUUUAGUGGAGUUUAUCGUCGUUGAUUUCUUAGUCGGAUUCAUUAUGUAUAUAUUGUUUUCGAUGGAUCAAGAUGAUGAAAUACUGAAGAUGGGUUUUCUGAUUUGGGUUUAAAAUUCAUCAGCCGUGAUUUCUUUGUUUAAAAUGGUUGUGUCAUUCGUUCGUUAUUCAAUCUGAUGAUGAAACUGAGUGGACACCAAGCUCUUUGUCAAAAUCAUUGACAAUUAAAAAUUUGUUAUGUAAGAUUAUGAAAUACUUUUGAAAUCUUAAAAAUUUGUUAUGUAAGAUUAUGAAAUACUUAUGUAAAAUUUCUUAUGUAAGAUUAUGAAAUUCUUAUGUAAGAUUAUGAAAUACUUAUGAAAUCUUAAAGUUAGGUUUUUAGAUUUGGGUUUAAAGUUUAUCCGCCGUGAUUUUUUUGUUUAAAAUGGUUAUGUCAUUCAUUUAUUAUUCAAUCCGAUGAUGAAACUGUGUUGGCAAACAUAGUCUAUUGUGAAAAUCAUUAACAAUUAAAAUUUUGUUGUACCGGUGAAAAUCAUUAACAAUUAAAAUUUUGUUGUACCGGUGAAAGAAAUAUGAAGAGCCAUUGAUUCAAAGGUUUGCAAGGUAAUGAUAUGGUAAUUCAGUUAAGACGAUUAAGACGAUUACGGAAGGCUAUAACCAGAAGAUAUCUAGAACGCCCACAUAUCCAAACAUAGCCACCGAGGUUGGGCGGUACAUGUACAUCGACUCAAAAGUUUGCAGGAUAAGGCGCAAAUCAACCAUAAAUAACUGGUAGGCAGUCUUUGGGAACAUGUUCACUAACAAUGUGAGCGAUAAGGUUAACAAUCUUACUAGUUUUACUUUUUAGACGAGAGGAUUUUCUGCGCUAUCUAUUUUUUAUUUGUUUUAUUUUUUGCUUUGUUAUUCCGAUAUUUUGGAAUAUUUUAAAGUGUUGUCAAAAUCAUAUAUGUAUAAAUAGUUAUAGUUAGUUAUCAUUUUUGAAGAUUUAUUAUCUUUCUUGAAGAUAUACUUAGUUGAUCGUUUCAGUAAUAACGUGACUAUUAGUUAAACAUUAACAUAUGUUUUAUUGGAUUUUAAUCAUAUGUUGCCAAUUUCAAUAGUUGAUUGAAAGGCUUAUGUUUUAUGGAAGUUUUUAAUACAAUGGAUACAUUAUUAUACUUGAAUAUGAAUAAGAAUGGAAAUUUAUUGAGGUUUUAAAUAAAAUUUAAAAUAGGUAACAAAGGAAAGACAAAUUUGUGGAAGUUUUAAACACAAUUCAAAAUCGACAACCAAAGAAAACGAUUGAUGUAAUGACGAGGUCUUAUCUUCAAGAACAUAUUAUUUAUUUUGUUUAAAAUUGACAUUACAAUAGAGUAAGAAUGUAUUUGAUUAUUAAG
rnacentral:lncRNA from 1 species